UAAAAUGGCGUGACAUUUGUUACGUUUCAGUGAAUUUAAAACAUUUAACAAAGAAUUAAAUCAAUUUCUUGCUGUAUGAUAUUCGCUAUGAAAAGUGGGGAGGCUUUAGACAUUCCAUGGUUACGAGGGGUUUAAAAUCAUCUCGAGGAAGAAGGAGGAUGAGAAAGAAAAAGAAGGCGAAGAAGAAGGAGAAGAAGACGAAGAAAAAAACCAACAGAGAGAAUCUGCGAAACAUCUGCACUGAUGAGGCCCAAUGUAAUAACGAGCCACAGUGUACCAGUAGCGGCGACUAUGAGACAUUGCAGGCAAAGAUGAAUAUUGUCACCAAGCUGUCGAGUAGCCGUUUUUUGGAUGUCAUUGCCGGUCAAGCAGCACCAACGCCACUUCAAAGUUUGCAUAUCACCAUUGGUUAUGAAGACUAGUGUGUUGGGUGGACAGGUAUUGAGCAAGGUAUAUAUCAGAGAGAGAAGAGGAAUAAUUGGUGCCAAGGUGCUAGGUCAUAAAGCUGGGAUUGGAGCAUGCUAACUUUUUGGACAGGAGACCCGGGACAGGAGAGGAGACUCAUGACAGGAGAGGAGCCCAGGACAGGACAGGAGACCCACGACAGGAGAGGAGCCCAGGACAGGACAGGAGACCGAGGACAUUACAGGAGCAACCAACUACCAUUUAUUGAGAAGCUGCAAACACUGCCACUCCUGAGUACUAGCGCGUGCCCACUUAUGUACGAGGUUUUCGUCAGGCUGACAGAAGUUGUAAGUGUGUAAAUCAUUGAUGCUAGAACUGUUGUAUAAAUGCACAUUGUGUAAAACGUCAAGUUGUCUAGCUACCGUGUGUACAUCGUUACUCAAAUGCAAAGUCAUGUUUUUCAUUGAGUUCGGUUUUUAGACUUCAGCUAUUCAGUAAUCGAAAUAGUUUAACAGAUUUUUUAGUGACAAAUUCUGAACAUAUGUUA